rnacentral:tRNA from 1 species
GUGGUUGCUCAGUGGCACAACGCUUGCCUAGCACAUGUGAGGUCCUGGGUUCAAUCCCCAGCACCACA